AGUCAAGAAUCAAUCUCCAUUUACUGCAGGAUUCUGGGCUGUUGGGUGGAUCCUGUAUUCCCUUCCCCUCAUGGAUCAGCUGUGCCCUGUGUUUCUUUACAAGUGCAGCUGGGAAGCGUUCAGCUCCAACCAGAACACGUGGCAGGACUUGGACCGAGCUGAGGGAGUGGAGCAGUCAGCAGAGAGCACGAGGAUAUAUCAAUAAAGUUUAAAAGAGAGAUAUAGACACAUUCCACUAGCAGCACCUUUAUGGACUGUUACAAUAUGGGGUCAGACAACAAUCAGAUUCUCCAAGGCAUUGAAACUGGACGGAUUAGUCUCCUUUACUUCUUAUCCAGAAACUCAGAGACAACUCACCUCAGUGAGGUCGAAUUGGAAUAAACACACAUCAGGUGUGAAGAAAUAAAUCUUUUUGCUCCUGAGGGCUGGCAUCGUGCAUGAGAGGGGAUGGAUGGAUCCUUCCUGGUACACUUCUGUUGUUCCAGCCCAGGUUAUUAAAACCCAUGACUCUAGGGAUGGUGAGGCAGGGAAUCCAGAGAAGCCACAGAUCAUAUCGUUGUCUCACUUCUGGAGGAAAAUAACUUUCUUUAUAUUUACUUGAAUUUCAAACUCCACCUUGACAAAUGCAAGAUAAGCACAAUUUUGGACUACAGUGAAAGUGAAAUUUAUAUUGCGCCUCUAUGCCUUCACUGUUCCACUCUCAAAAGAGGAUAUGUAGUCAAGAGAGGUGACGUUUCACCCAUAACACUGGUCCCAUUUCCCCAAGCAAAAAGAGGAAAGAAUGACAGAUUCAGCAUUCUUCUGGUAAUUUAUCCCUGCUCCUCAGUGUUUGGGUGUGAAAGACUCACAGAGCCCAUAAGCCUCCACUGUAGUUUUGAACAGUGAUUUCAAAAUGAGCUCAUUCUGCCAUGAUUCUUCUCAUGACACCUUCCAUGGUUUUUCCAGAUCAGCAACUUUCUAAUAGCAGCAGAGAAGGAAAGAGUAGCUCCAUAAAACAGCAUUAAACAAGGAGGCUCAUUGGUAAUUAAAGUGGGAAUUGAGGUAAAGGAAUAUUGGGUAAAGCCUGCUGGAAUGCCUCUUUGGGAUAUUUCAAACAGUUUUUUGAAAUAACAUUUCUGUCUUCCUGGAGCUAAUUAUGCAUUUGCUCCACACUAAGCAGAAGGCUAAAUUAAUUGCGAGAACAAUAGUAAUUUGUUGCUGGU
rnacentral:lncRNA from 1 species